UAUUCAGAAAGAGUGGACGGUGGAAAGGAGAGUUUUCAAAGCUGUAAAUACGUGUAAGCAAAGAAGAUUAUACGUAUUAGUUGAUUGAUUUGUUAUAUGUUUUUGGUGUGCAAUAAAGAAAAAGAAAGAAUUGGGUUUGUGUCGAAACAAAGAUAAGUUUCGAGAUUUUGAGCUGUUCCAGAUAAUUAGAGCGAGGCCAUAAUGGAUUUUUGGCCAGAGUUUCUUGCUACAAGUUGGGGCAGAGAAUUUGUCGCUGGAGGUUUUGGUGGCAUUGCAGGUAUAAUUUCUGGAUAUCCACUUGAUACUUUGCGUAUCCGGCAACAACAGAACUCCAAUUCUGGCUCGGCCUUGAGCAUCCUCCGCCGCGUUAUCUCCGCGGAAGGGCCUGGUGCACUUUACAGAGGGAUGGGUGCACCCCUGGCAUCAGUCACCUUUCAGAAUGCCAUGGCUUUCCAAAUCUACGCUAUCCUUUCUCGAGCAUUUGACUCGUCUGUUUCGGUUAAUGACCCUCCUUCCUACAAAGGUGUGGCUUUAGGAGGAGUUGGCACAGGAGCUUUACAGAGUUUGAUGCUUACUCCUGUAGAACUGGUAAAGAUCCGCCUUCAAUUGCAGGACAAAAGUCAUGCAAAACUCCAUCACAUAGACUGUCACAAAGGUCCUAUAAGUGUUGCCAGGAGCAUACUCAGGACUGAAGGUUUAAAAGGAAUUUAUCGAGGCUUUUCCAUCACUGUCCUUAGAGAUGCGCCUUCUCACGGCUUCUACUUCUGGACAUACGAGUACAUGAGAGAGCAGCUUCAUCCUGGCUGCAGAAAGAACGGCCAAGAAAGCUUAAGAACAAUGCUUAUUGCUGGAGGACUAGCAGGAGUUGCAAGUUGGGUCUGCUGCUAUCCAUUAGAUGUUAUAAAAACCAGACUGCAAGCUCAAACACCAUCUUCCCCACAAAAAUAUAAUGGCAUUCUGGAUUGUCUCAGCAAAAGUGUUAAAAAGGAAGGCUACGGCGUGCUCUGGCGUGGCUUGGGAACUGCUGUUGCAAGGGCUUUUGUUGUGAAUGGGGCAAUAUUUUCUGCUUAUGAGAUCGCACUUAGGUGUUUAUUCAACAAUGGAAGCGUUCAAACAGAGAACACGAUCUAGGGAAAAUUUAUCUCUCCUAAUUUGAAAGAACAGUCCAAGAAGUGCAUAUUGCACGCAAUCCUUUUUCAACACUGCUCAAUGAUCUAAGCAACUAGGAGGCUGGAGCCCUCCUCUUUUUGCACUCAUGGUGUAAGGUU
rnacentral:misc_RNA from 1 species